rnacentral:tRNA from 1 species
GGGGAUUUAGCUUAGUGGCAUAAGCACCUGCCUUGCAAGCAGGUGGUCGUGAGUUCGAUCCCCG